CAAAGACAAUGACUGUACUAAAACUGGCGUUACUGAUUGGUGCAUACGGCUCUUUAAUCCUAAUACCUAUUUCUAAAGGGGCAUUCAUAUUUCAUAGAGGCGAAUGUCCAGAUGGACACAAGGAAGGCGAUACUUGGCCCCCCAUGGGUGGUUACUGUGAAGGAUGUUCCUGCUUUGCCAAUGGCUGGGUUGUGGAUCGUGUUCACCAUAUGUCAUAAUGGAGAACUGUUACCACGAAACUAACACAACUGCACCAUAUCCCGAUUGUUGUCCAUCACUUGUCUGUAAAGAUGAUCCACAUUUCAACCCAUCCAAAAUCGAACUUGUCGGCAGAUAAGUAAAGAUAUACACCAGUGCAAAUAGACUCUUUUUUAAAAAACACUAGUAAGCUCCAUGAGUGUGUUUUAACACAAGUAUCGACGUGAAAUAAAACAUUAUUGCUUUCACAAUAAAAGAUAUUCUUGUCAAACUUCAAA